GCGUUUUUCUGUUGUGGCUUUCAUGUCUGCGUGCAUGGCUAUAUUGUCACGAAUAACAAAUGGUGAGGCGGCGAAUAACUGACAAAACUAAACGUUUAACGGGGAAAACUUGUGCCCAAAACAAAAUAGAGAAAGGCUAGUGUCGCAGACGUCGAAGCAGCAGGAUUGAGCGCUAGGAAGAGACUGACUUCGCUCGCCAUGCGGAGUCCCUUUUGUAGUCACGUGGGUCUCUGGAACAUUCGGCCUAGACAUUUCGGUGCGUAGAACAUUCGUAGCUUGAUCAGACAAGAAAUUUCUCGAAUUUGCGAGAACGCCAAGUAGAAAGAAUAAAUAAAAGAACAUUCCGCUGCCUGGAAUCAAACCCAAAUCUUCUGCGCUACAAUCAAGUGCAGUAACCAUUUGGCCACGUACGCGCUCGCUCAGCGACGUGUGUGGCAAUAUUAGAAGAAAGCUGUGUUACAGCAAGAUUAUCUUCAGCCUCGUCGGACUCGCCAUCACGGGUUUUUCUAAUUGCAGCACAUUGCUCCAUCUCCCAACAGAAGCACCAAACAUUGCUUUCGGCCAUCUGCGUCCUGACGCAGGUUGCUGAUGCUUUGCAAAAACAAAGCUGCACCUUUCGAUUCCACAAGUACCUCUUCUCAACCGAGGCAACAUGGUCAACCUCGACAAGCUGGCUACCGACCAGUACCACGUGUGCCGUGUCCGCGGCAUCCAGCGUCUUGCAUUUGCGCUCGGCAAGGCACUCGCAAAACUUUAUGGUAAUUCUAUCCUUGGUGGGUGCUGUGCCCCAUUCUAACCUUUCGAAGUCCACAGGUGUUUAAGAUGUGGAGCCUGUGGCCAGUGGGGAGGUGUAUGUCUCCAAUUUGCCAGACCCUAGCACUAGCUAAGUUACCGCCGAAUUCACAAACCUCAUUUCAAUUGAGGCGCCCCUCCACUUCCUCAAGGAAGGUGUGAGGGCCGGUGCUGGGGGGGGGCCAGUCGCGACGACAAAUAGGCGGCCUAGGCUGCUUAGCCGUCCUCGCGAUUGGCCAGUGCCGUCCCUCGUGCCUUCCUUGAGGAAGUGGGGGGGUGCCUCAAUUGGAAUAAAGGUUUGUGAAUUCGGCAGUUAGUGUCUCUUUUCCCCUAUGUGCGAUCCCAGCCAUUAUGAGCUAGAAUGAAGAGCUUUCCUACAAGAACCUUUCUAAUCCGUUAUUUCAAAGUUUGUUUAUUUCUGAAGAGCAUCUCAGUGCCUGCAUUUUGAUGUCAUAAUACUCUACUCUAAGAUCUCAAAAGGUAGUCCACCCCUAUUUUUGGCUUGAUUUGCUUUACUUUUUAAACACCGAAAGAUAGACUACUUCAAGUAAUAGUAGUGUUGGGAUCAGUGAUGGCCUCGACACAAAUGCGGCUAGUUAGCUGUGGCGGGAUACAAGUGAAUGUUGCUGACUGGGAAGUACAUACCUCGGGAUUUUAUGGUAUGUGCCAAAUAGCUUUAAAAAUGAAGGGAUCUGCAGAGAUGCUUGAAAAAUCAUCACUUUUCUCGUGGUAAGGAACGAAUUCAGGGCCAUAGAAGAACUGCAACAAAUUGUGUAGUUGGGCUAGUUGGUUGGUCAUUUUGAAAUGGUAUCUGUCUGCUUCUUUUUAUGUUUACUUACUGUACCAUGCAGAAGUAAAAUUUUCAGUCGUAAGUG